rnacentral:sRNA from 1 species
GUGCGAAUCGUGGGUGGGAUGGCCGUGGGCCGCCUCUUUCUAAGUCGGCUUCGAGCACCCUUCAGUUCCAUGGCCAAGAGCCCACUCGAGGGCGUUUCCUCCUCCAGAGGCCUGCACGCGGGGCGCGGGCCCCGAAGGCUCUCCAUCGAAGGCAACAUUGGCCUGCACUGCCCAAAGUCUUGGAAACUUGCUGGAUAUGAUGUACCGGGAGCCAGCACGAUGGUCCUACACAUUCCAGACAUUUUCCUUUUUGAGCCGCCUGAAAGUACAGCUGGAGCCCUUCCCUGAGAAACUCUUACAGGCCAGGAAGCCAGUACAGAUCUUUGAGAGGUCUGUGUACAGUGACAGGUAAAAUGCCAAGCCCUCCACCAGUCACAAGCCCCAUGCUCAGUGCUGCCUGUUUGAUCUUGCACAGAUCCUGCACUGCUAUGGUCACUGAUGAUUAUACUUUGAAAAAUUGUCUUCUUUUUUAAAGACAACACUAUACAGAUUUGUCCAGAGUUGUACUUCUACCAGAUUGUCAUCUAUGUCAAGAAAGGAAAUUGGGUUUUUCAUCAACUGAAUGCUUUGAAU